rnacentral:misc_RNA from 1 species
GUCUAGACCUCAAAACAGCUUCAAGCUUCUCAGCUUUUAUGGUUACUGGAGGGUCUAUUGCUAAUGUCAUGUGUAACCUCUGUAGUCCCAAAUUUGGUGGUAAAGCUUUGAUUGACUACGAUAUUGCACUUUUAUCAGAGCCCUGCAUGUUGCUAGGAGUUAGUGUUGGGGUAAUUUGUAAUUUAAUUUUCCCAGAGUGGCUUAUCACAAUUUUGUUUGUUAUUUUCCUUGUUUGGUCUACUUGCAAGACUUGCAAGAAUGGGGUUCUGCACUGGAGAAUGGAAUCAGAAGAGAUGAUGAGAAAUGGUUAUGAAAAUUUGGAAAGUUUGUUGGUUAAAGAUGGGUUUAGUUUUACAAGUGAAGUGAUCAAGAGCAACAAAAAGCCUCUUGUGGGUUUAGAAAUGGAAAACAAGUUGGGUUUUCCAUGGCAGAAAUUGGGGCUCUUACUGUUGGUCUGGUUCUC